UACGUAGGGGGCGAGCGUUGUCCGGAAUUAUUGGGCGUAAAGAGCUCGUAGGCGGUUCCUUAAGUCGGGUGUGAAAUCUCAGGGCUCAACUCUGAAACUGCACCUGAUACUGGGGAACUUGAGGCAGGUAGGGGAGAUCGGAAUUCCUGGUGUAGCGGUGAAAUGCGCAGAUAUCAGGAGGAACACCGGUGGCGAAGGCGGAUCUCUGGGCCUGUUCUGACGCUGAGGAGCGAGAGCGUGGGGAGCAAAC
rnacentral:rRNA from 1 species